rnacentral:tRNA from 1 species
GUAAAUAUAGUUUAUUAAAAACACUAGACUGUGAACCUAGCAAUAGAAGCUAAAACUUCUUAUUUACC